rnacentral:tRNA from 1 species
UCCGGCGUAGUUCAAUGGCUUAGAGCAGAUGUUAUGAAAUGUCAGGAAACAUACGAUGCGGGUUCGAAUCCUGCCGCCGGAA